CGUUGUAACCAAUAAAUUUUGUACUUUGCAGUGACACAAGACAUGCAGAGUAAGACAACAGAUGACCGCAGUGACUACAGGAGAGCACCCGGUCUGGACAAGAAGGGUGACGUAGGACCGGGAACAGACACUAACUUUGACUUCCGAGGAGGCUUUGGACGUGGUCGUGGAGCUCCACAGUAAAGCGCUUCAAUGCCCGUCUAGGAGCUUGUGAAUAAAACAAAACUUGCUUCAGACAAA
rnacentral:lncRNA from 1 species